GAGUUUGAUCCUGGCUCAGGAUUAACGCUGGCGGCGUGCCUAAUACAUGCAAGUCGAACGGAAGUACCUUCGGGUACUUUAGUGGCGAACGGGUGAGUAAUACAUAGGUAACCUACCCUUAAGACGAGGAUAGCCAUUGGAAACGAUGGAUAAAACUGGAUAGGAUAUAGAGGAAGAAUCUUUUAUAUUUAAAAGAGAGAUCUGCUUAAGGAGGGGCCUGUGGCGCAUUAGCUAGUUGGUGGGGUAAGGGCCUACCAAGGCGAUGAUGCGUAGCCGGACUGAGAGGUUGAACGGCCACAAUGGAACUGAGAACGGUCCAUACUCCUACGGGAGGCAGCAGUAGGGAAUUUUCGGCAAUGGGGGGAACCCUGACCGAGCAACGCCGCGUGAACGAAGAAGUUAUUCGUAAUGUAAAGUUCUUUAUCAGGGAAGAAAGAGGAAUUGAC
rnacentral:rRNA from 1 species